ACCUAUGUCUGACGUUGACCAUCAAAGUCCACGUUUUCCUAGUCUUUAUUUUAUUUUUCGUAAUUAUUUUUAAAAUAUUAUUUAAUCGGACGAAUAUACCCUCGAAGAGAAGGAAUAAUCUUCUUCACUGUCACUUCCCUUCUCACAACAGCUGCCAUGUAAAAACCAGCAGAAGAGGAAAAAGUGGUCAAUCAAAAAAGCGUCCUUCCGGUAAACAAUCCAUUUCUUGUCGAAUCAAAAUCAUAGGUAGAAGAAUGGUCAGUAGAAACUACUGUUGGAUUAGUUGAAGCAUUGAAGUUAAUUGAUAGAGAUGGUGAAGAAAAAAUAACUAGAUCUGAGAUUGAAUCUGUUUUACAAAGAAUUGGCGAUGAAAUACCGAGUAAGAUGAAUUUGUGAUUAUGUUUAGUGAGAUUUUAUGAAUUGUUGAUGGUUUUAUUACUCUCGAGAAGUUGCAGAUUCUUUCCCUGCUGCCACCAUUGUUAAUUUAUCAAUUUUUUGAGAAGUUGCAGAAAUUUCGUUAAGUUUCGCUGCUGGAAAAAUCUUUUAAUGGUGGUUUCUCUCCAUAAAAAUCAACAGUAAUAGAAGAAGAAGAAUCACAAACCCAUCUCUUCUCAUAUCAGACAAAACCCAGUCUGUGAUUCAAUCUCAUAAUCCCAUAGAAGACAUUCUUAUAUCAAUUCCACCAAUUGUAGAAAUCAAACCAAUUACAACUGUGUAACUCCACAAAGAACAGAAUAUGAAGACAACGAAAGGAGGAAAACAUGAACCCGACAGAUGCAUAUCGAUAGGAACUACGAAAUAAAAAACUAAAAAGGGUAUUGAGAAAAAUCUUCCACUGAUUUUAGGGUUUCUGUUGUUUUUUCUUAAUACUGGGGGAUGCGGUAUUUUUUAUUUCCAUUAAUAGGUUAAGAUUUAGAUGAUAGGUUGAUUCAAUGAAAGCUGGUUUGCCCAGAAUGAUGGAGGCUGGAAAUCAGGUUUACUAAGUCAAGUUUUGGAUUAAGUUAGAAUUUGGUAGUUGAAUAUCAGACAUCACCCUCAAAGACUGAGAUCUUCAAAGAGGUUUGAAGAACUUCUUUUAUCAGCUAAGAAAAUGCAAAGACGAGUUCAAGGCAAAGAAAAUCAAGCAAAGCAAAAUUUGAAAGCAAAUAAGAGUACUAGUCAGAAAAACAAAGGACACUCCGUUAUGAGUGCAUUGAUUAGAAGUUAUGUGAAAUGAUUAAUUAUUUUAAAAUUAUUGUUGUGUAGUUUUAUAUCUUGUAAAAUGCAUAUUAAUGAUCAA